rnacentral:misc_RNA from 1 species
GAAUGUCCGCUGUGCACAGAUAAGCAAUCUUGAGGGCCUCCCCCAUUUCAUGUUCUGGUCCUGUAUCACGAAUUUUUGAAUCAAUAGCUUUUAGCCCUUGGUUCUUCCUUACCAAUCCUCUAACCCAACUCACCAAAGUUGCAUCGUUUUCUUCAGGAUAAUCAUCUCCGACCGGCUUUUUCCCAGUAAUUAGCUCAAACAAAACAACUCCAUAGCAAUAGACAUCGGAUUUUGGUGUUGGGCAGUUGUUAUCUGGAUCUGAAAACUCUGGAGGAACAUAACCUGGUGAGCCACGAGCAAUCUCCUCAUCUAAACCACUGCCAAAGACCUUGCCCAGUCCAAAAUCAGAUAACCUUGGCUCCAGUUUAUAAUCCAGGUAAACACUGCUAGCUUUAACGUCUCUAUGAAUAAGUGGGGGUGAGCAACCAUGAUGAAGAAAUGCCAAUGCACGAGCAGUGCCAAGAGCAAUUUUGUGUCGAAAUCUCCAGGUUGUUAAUAACC